CACGUAGGCGGCGACGUAAGUUGGGUGUGAAAUCCCUCGGCCCAACCGAGGAACUGCGCCCAGUACUGCGUUGCUUGAGGAUCAAAGGGGUGCAUGGAAUUCCCGGUGGAGCGGUGAAAUGCGUUGAUAUCGGGAGGAACUCCGGCGGCGAAAGCGGUGCACUGGUUGAUUACUGACGCUGAGGUGCGAAAGCCAGGGGAGCAAACGGGAUUAGAUACCCCGGUAGUCCUGGCCGUAAACGAUGGGCACUAGGUAGGGGGAAACCAAACGUCUCCCUGCUGGAGUGAAUAUAUUAAGUGCCCCGCCUGGGAAGUACGGUCGCAAGGCUGAA
rnacentral:rRNA from 1 species